rnacentral:rRNA from 1 species
AACGAACGCUGGCGGCAUGCCUAACACAUGCAAGUCGAACGAGACCUUCGGGUCUAGUGGCGCACGGGUGCGUAACGCGUGGGAACCUGCCCUUAGGUUCGGAAUAACUCCCCGAAAGGGGUGCUAAUACCGGAUAAUGUCUUCGGACCAAAGAUUUAUCGCCUUUGGAUGGGCCCGCGUUGGAUUAGCUAGUUGGUAGGGUAAAAGCCUACCAAGGCGACGAUCCAUAGCUGGUCUGAGAGGAUGAUCAGCCACACUGGGACUGAGACACGGCCCAGACUCCUACGGGAGGCAGCAGUGGGGAAUAUUGGAAAAUGGGCGAAAGCCUGAUACAGCAAUGCCGCGUGAGUGAUGAAGGCCUUAGGGUUGUAAAGCUCUUUUACCCGGGAUGAUAAUGACAGUACCGGGAGAAUAAGCUCCGGCUAACUCCGUG